GGUAUUGUGCCUAUACAGCUCAUUCAAAAAUGUAAUGUGAGGUUUUAGUCCUUGAAAGCUAUUUAGGAUAGUAAAAAAAAAUGCAGGUUAGUAGUUAGUCAUCUAUAACUAUCAAACUUAUAGUUAUGUAAGCUUUGUUUUCAAGGUCAAACAGAGAUAUAUUUUAAAUCAAUAGAUAGUCUUCAAACACUUCAGAGACCUACAGAAUAUGGCAUUUAAAAUGUUUUAAUAACAUAAGGCUUUUCAUGACAGUGAGAUAUGUCUGAUCCUGGAAACACCAAUUACUUCAAAAAAGGAUGAUGGGCAUAGAUGAACUUCCAUAUGGAAUGUGCUUUCAAUGUGGCAAAGCUAGCCAUUUGGGCAAGAAACUGCCCUUGCCUUGACUGUUGACAAUAUGCUGUCAAAACUGGAUAAGCAGGACACAAAAAAGUGACUGCUGAACUUUACCAAGACAAGGUAGACCAGUUCUUCAAAAUUCCUGCUUCACAGAAAAGUCUGUCAGAUAUCCAGGCCUGUAGGCUGAGGAUAGAUGCCCCAAUGUCACAGAGGAACCUUGGGUGACUGUCCAUGCAGCUAGAUGUCUCUGUGUUUCUCUAGUUUUGGAAAUUAUUUGUUCUGCAUUCCUAUUUAUUCAGGUAAUAUUAUAUCCUUCUCAGAUCUCUGAUAGAGUUGAAGAAGAGAUAGUUAUAGUUAUAGUUAUAGUUUUCCUUGUUACCAAAUUCAGAAAAGAAACUGAAUAAGAGAUGCAAAAUUUAUAAGGUUGAGAAACAUGAAAGCUUAAAUUGUUUAUCUAAGAAGAUGUUUUAAGGUCUAAAAAGAUAUUUUUAGUAUGGUAAUACAAGUUAGGGUAGAGAGGAAAUUAGGUACAAAAACUUGGAUUCACUAAGAUAGGAUAGAUAAUUUAGUACUGUCCUCAAAUUUGCCAAACACAAAUGGACUGGACAUUGUGAAUGUAAUUCUUACCUGAUAAUUGUUCUUAUUGUAUACGGUUUUACUGUGUUAGAGUUAAAACCUUUCCUUUUUAUUUAGACAAAAAGGAGGAAAUGUUAUGUGAUAAUUUUACACUGUGUGAUGGUGUAUUGCUGUGAUUCAUGUAAUAAAGAUCUGAAUGGCCAAUAGCUAGGCAGGAAGAGGUUAAGUGAGACUUCCAGAGGCAGAGAGGACACUGGGAAGAAGAAAGCCAGAGUCACCAGCCAAUCAUGGAGAGGAGACAGGAGGUGCUAGAUGGAAGAGAGGUAAUGCCAUGUGGCAGAACACAGAUUAAAAACUAUGGGUUAAGUUAUAAGAGCUAGUAGAGACAAGUCUAAGCUAAAGGUCAAGUGUUCAUAAUUAAUAAUAAGUCUCUGGGCCAUUAUUUGGGAGCUGACUGGUAGGAGACAAAAAAAAUCUCAUUCCACAUGGGGAUGGCAUGGGAGGCCAAGGCUGGUUCAUAUUAAGUGAAAUCUGCACAGAACCAGAAAGAAUCCUCAUUGUCUAAUCAAGGGCAGAAUGAGGCAUGAAGCCUGCCUGGGCUCCAGCUGAAGUUUUAUGAGGAUAGACUAUUCUUACAGGUUGCCCCCUCCCUCUCUGUGAAGAAUACUUCAAAAGGGUUCUUUAAAUAUAUCAGCAUUCCAGUUUGCUUCCUAUUGCUGUGAUAAAGAAACCUGUGGAACAAAGGGUCUACUUGGCUUAUAGGUUACAGUACAGGUCUUAGCCACUGUUCUAUUGUGAAGAGACACCACGACCAUGGCAAUUCUUAUAAAAGAAAGCAUUAAAUUGGGGGCUUGCCCACAGUUUUAGAGGGGUAGUCCAUGAUCAUCAUGGUGAGAAGCAGACAGACAUGAUGUUGGAGCAGAAGCUGAGAGCUUUACAUCCUGAUCCAUAGGCAGCAGGCAGAGAGAAAGAAACUGAGCCUGGUGUGGGACUUUGAAACCUCAAAGCCCACCCUCAGUGACACACCUCCUCCAACAAGGCCACACCUCCUAAUCCUUCCCAAACAUUUCAUCAACUGGAGACUAGGCAUGCAAAUACGGGGACUAUUCUCUUUCAAACCACGACAGUCCCUCAUUAAAAGAAGCCAUGCAGGAACCCAUGGGCAGGAACCCAGAGGCAGGAUCCCAGAGGCAGAAACUGAAACAGAGAUCUUGGAGGAGUGCUAUUUACUGGCUCAACCUGUUUUCUUAUACUACCCACAACUACCUGCCCAGGGAAGGUCAUCACUCACAGUGUGCUGGACCCUCUCACAUCAGUCAUUAAUCAAGAAAAUGCUCCACAGAUUUGCCUACGGGCCAAUCUGAUGAAAGCAGUUACAUAAUUGACAUUAUUCUUGUCACAAAUGACUCUAGCUUAUGUUAAAUUACCAGCCAGCAGUGUAUCAUGGAUAAAUCUGGUCUUGGGGUGGCUUCUAGUACCAAAAUAGUAACAACAUACCAUGACAGGCUCCGGACAGAGUCAGACACAGAUGCAUUUGGUGGUGAAGGAGGAAGAUGCAGGCUCAGAGAAAACGAGGAGAUUUUCUUAGAGUUUAACCAGCACAGAACAUUGGAAUGAAUAUGUGAUCUUUCAGUGCCUAGACCUGCCAUACACCAAAGUGCCUGGAGCUUUUGGGAAACCUUGAUCUCACUUAGGACUCACAGUGAGGUCCCAGACACUGAGUAGCUGCCAAUCAGUUGAGAGACACCUUGAGAGUAUAAAACAGCUGUUUUAAGGGAACCCAAUUAGCUUGGAGAAUGCUUGGAGAAAUGUUUCAUGAAUCUAACAGAAAAAGUUAACAAAGACACAAAAGCAAAACAAACAAACAAACAAACGGGUCAGAAAUCCUUGAGCUGAAAAAUUCUUUCAGUGAAUUUCAGGAUGUCAUUGCUGGUUUGUGAGUCAAGAGAAAUCGAACAUGAGAAAGAACCAGUGCAGACUUUGAAAGUACGCAAGUGGAGGGAAAACUGGAAAGGUGUGAAGGAAGCUUAUGGGAAUGGGGGAGCACUGUUAAAGGAGCAAAUAUUGAGGUUAUUGGGGUUCAAGAUUGACUUGAAGAUGCACAAGGGUCAGAAAGCAUUUCCAAAGAAACGAUACCCAAAAACAGGGUUACAAAUAUCCAGGUCAAAGAUCUACAUCCAGAUUUAAUUCAGUUAAGUCUGUCCUAAGACAUAAUCAAGCUUUAAUGGGUGAAAGAUAAAGAGAAAGGUUUCAGGGUUUCAACAGAAAAGAAACAGCAUUCAGGCGACCCAAUUCACAUGACCACACCCUUCGGGGGAAAUUUCAUGGGCCAGGAGAGAGAGGCACCAGAUUUUUUUUCUAGUAAAAAGAACUGCAAAAAUCAGCCAAGAGUAUUGUAUUCAGAAAAACAAUCCCUUAGAAAUGAGAGAGAGAUGUUCCCAGAAAAAUGAAAGCUGAAAGAGUGUGCCUCUAUUUGGUCUGCUUGACCAGCAAGGCUAAAGAAGAUCUUGAACUAAAAAGGAGAGACAUUAAUGGAUAAGGAGGCAGCAUGGAAAGGUGUGUAGAGUAUAAAUAUCCACUAAGGAAAACUGCAAGAGAAUGAGAGAAAUAUCAUUAGAAAACCAAGUUAUAUAAGGUUGAUUAUAAAAUCUUUAUUGUCAAUAAUUACCUUAAACAUAAGUGGAUCAAAUUCUUCUAUUUGAAGACACAGAAUGACUGAGUUGAUAAACAAUAACACCCAACUAUAUGUUACAAAAACUUACUGGACCUCUAAAGACAUACAUAACAUGAAUGUAGAGAAAGCAUGAUUAUCCAUAUUAAUAUCAAUAAAAUAGACCUUAUAUAUAAAGAGUAAAAAUGGGUAAAAGAGGUUGUUAUAUAAUAACAAACUCAUCAAUUUGUCAAUUCUAAACAUAUAUGAACCCAGUAUUUGGGGAGCUAUAUAUGUAUAAAGCAACGUAAUAAUAGAUCCAAAGAGAUAGCUACACUCCACUACUAGAACAGCUGAGGAUCUUAACACACACUUUUAGCAGUGACAGAUUAUCCAAACAGAAAGGCCACAAAGAAGCAAGACAGUGAGAUUUCAUCUUGCAUAAAAUAAACCCAACACAUCUACAGAACAUUCCAUUCAAUAGUUGUCUAAUACACAUUCUCCACAUCGUUACAGAGAACACUGUACAGGAUACAUUCUCUACAGGGCACAAAACAAGCCUGACAAAACUUUAAAAAACCGAAACCAGGUCAAGUAUCUUUUUCACUUAGAAUGCAACUGAGCUAGAAGUCAACAAUGAGGAAAACAUUGUAAGAAAACCACUGAUUUUUGACACUCAGUGCAUCUAGGAAGAAAUAAGAAAAGAAUCAGCAUUUUCUUGAAAAUACUCAACAUACUAAUGUGUAUAGGAUAUAGCUAAGGCAGUGCUAAAAAAGAAGUUUCUAUAAAUCAAUGGCUGUGUAUAAAAAUAGAUUUGAAGCAACGAAACUGCCAGUAGAACAAACUGAAUUCAAAAAUUAUAGAUGGAUAAAAAUAAAGAAAAUCACAUAAAGCAGUCAAACGGGGACCACAGUGCAGAACAUCAUAGAGACAAAGAGUUGGUUCUUCAGAAAGGUAAGGAAAACAAAAUAGAAAACAGAAACAAAAAUAGACACUCUUUAACUAGUGUAACUGAAGAGAGAGAAACAUCACUCAAAUAGAAAUAGAAGUGAGUGGAGGUUUUACCACACACUACAGAAACCCACAAGGCUGUUAGUGAUUUCUAGAAAUAUCUGCACACAAGUUUCAUAAUCAGAAGAAAUGGAAAACUUAUUACACCUUACCAAGAAGGAAUCAUGAAGAUUUAGAAAACUCUAACAGAACUGUGGGUUAUAAAAUUGAAAAAGUAACAAAAAAUUUCCCAUCAAAGAAAGUUUAGGACCAUGUAACACGAAUUUCUAAAUGGUCUUUUAAUAAAAAUCUGGAGCCAAUUAGGGUAAAUGCUAAAAGAUCAGAGAGACAAAGGAACAAGUCAAUGGCACGUCUCACCUCGCCAAUUCCACGAAUCGUCUGUUUGAAUGUCUCUUCGUUCUCAGCCGAAAGGCUUCAGCUGAAAUAGCCUAACAGAAAGGCCUCUAGCCAAAAGGGUCUCCUCAGUUGAAAAGCCUUUAGUUCCUGUCUCCUCACGCUUAUAUACCUUUCUCCACCCAGCCAUCACUUCCUGGGAUUAAAGGCAUGUGUUCUUCCCAGUACUGGGAUUAAAGGUGUGUGCCACCACUGCCUGGCUCAGUUUCUCUCCUAGACUGAAUCAAUCUCAUGUAGUCCAGGGUGGCUUUGAACUCACAGAGAGACAGAUCUCUGUCUCCCAAGUGCUAGGAUUAGAGGUGUGUGCCACCACUGCCUGGCUUCUGUGUUUAAUCUAGUGGCUUGUUCUGUUCUCUGAUCUUCAGGCAAAUUUUAUCACAAUGUAUCACAUAGGACCAGGUGGCGUCAAUGUUGAAUUCUACCUAAGACCAUAAGAACAGCUAAUACCAAUUCUCCUUAUGUUAAUAUGAACAAUAAAAGAGGAUGAAAUUCUUCCAAACAACUAGAUGGCCACUAUCACCUUCAUGCCAAAACAAGAUUAAGAACACAGCAUAAAUAGAAAACUAUAGGUCAGUGUACUUGCUGGAAGUUGACAUUAAAAUCUCCAACAAAACACCAGAAAAUCAAACCCAAUAGCACAUUAACAAAUUCUUCACAUAAUAAGAUUCACCCCAGGGGUUCACUGGUGGUUUAUUAGAUUCAAAUCAAUGAAUGUGCUACAUCAUAUCAAUAAAAUGAAUUUGUCCAAUUGUUUUACACAAAAAUUUUUUAUAGUUGGUUUGAGUCAAGAUCCACUAAGAUGAUAUGCUUAUCUAUUUCUAAAUACUAUUUUGUGUGUAUGGGUGUUUUGUCUGUAUGUAUCUUCUUCAUGUGUGUUCAGUGCCUUUGGGUCAGAAUUGAAGGGCUAAUAGGCCCAAGCAUAACAAACAUGGCCCAGGUAGGCCUUGCCCUUCUCCCUUCCCUCUCCCUUGCUAAACCAUUAGAUUACGUUUCUAAAGCUAGCCCCCAAGGUCUACUCCCUUAUGGCUGACUAAAACUCCAAGGUCCAACUAUCAAAACAACAAGGUCCAGCAGCAAAAUUCAUAUAUUACCUAUACCAGCUAAUAGGUCCAAUCAGGACUUACCAGCUCAUUCUAACAAAGACUUCCCUUUUUUUUCUUUAUAAAAACCUACUCCUGCAAAAACACCUGCUCUCUACCUUUGCUGGCAUCCCCCCACCCCCCGGCUUGUCCCUCUGGGUGAGAAUUUUGGUGUCUGGGUGUGUUCUGUGCCAACUCCGAGGCCCUCUUACAAGAAGAGAGUGUGGGAUCCCCUGGGACUGGAGUUACAGGCAGUUGUGAGCCACCAUGUGGGUGCUGGGAUCAAACCCAGGUCCUCUGCAAGAGUAGCUGCUGCUCUUAACUGCUGAGCCACCUCUCCAGCCCCAGAUCUAUCUCAGAUGUCUUUAAACCCACCAAGGACUAAGGAGGGAAGACUGACCUGUUGAGCUGCCUGUAAGUCAAGCAUAGGGCUCCAGGCUACAGCUUUCAUGGGUCACCACCCAGGCUGGGGUGGGCUUUCCAGUGAUGCAGUUGCCUGCAAGUCUUUCACACUCCUGUGAGCAACCCCUCACCACACUCCUGUGACACUCACCUGUGAGCAACCCCUCACCACACUCCUGUGACACUCACCGGUGAGCAACCCCUCACCACACUCCUGUGACACUCACCUGUGAGUAACCCCUCACCACACUCCUGUGACACACUCCUGUGAGCAACCCCUCACCACACUCCUGUGACACUCACCUGUGAGUGACCCCUCACCCACACCUCACCUGUACUCUCUAAGCAAUCCCAACAAACUUGCUUUGCUAAAUUGGACUUGAGUAGAGUUGUCUCCUUUGUUUAUUGUGGUGUCUUCUCUGAGGUGAGUAGAUGUCUGUUCACAUCUCCCCAGGAAACAUCUCACACAACAGGCACUUCUCUUCAGUGUGAGCCACAAGAAGGGGAGGAGGGGUUCCAAUGAAAGUUCUCCAGUAGGAUGGCCUGUCAAUGUCAUACCCAAGUGAGACAAGGGGCACCGAUGGACUGCUUCCUGAGGUGUGUAAACCUAGGCAGAGGCAGUUACUUUGGCUCAUAGUGACUCAUGGAGAAGGUCUCUGUCUUAGCUAGGGUUUCCAUUGCUGUGAAGAGACACCAUAACUAUGGCAGUUCUUAUAAAAGAAAGCCUUGAAUUGGAGCUGGCUUACUGUUUCAGAGGCUUAGUCAUUGUCAUCAUAGCAGGACAUGGAGUUGUGCAGGCAGACACAGUGCUGGAGAAGGAGCUGAGAGUUCUACGUCUUGAUCCAAAGGAAGCAGGAAGUGAAUUGUCUACCACACUGGGUGAAGCUGGAGCAUAUGAGACCUCAAAACCCACCUCCACAGUGACACACUUCUUCCAACAAGGCCCAUACCUCUUCUAACAAGGCCACACCUCCUAAUAGUGCCACUCCCUAUGGACCAGGCAUCAAACAUGUCUAUGGGGGGCAUUCCUAUUCAAACCACCACAGUCUCUAUCAAUAUGCAGUGGCAACCAAAGCUCAGUGGAAUGUGGGGAGCAGGAGCCUCAGUCCUGAGGGGGAGUCUGAAUGCUGGACUCCGGAUUCUACAGCAUGGAGUCACCACAUAACUCCAUCUCUGCUCUGGCUUCCAUCUCAGUCUUUACAUAUCUAUCCAUACUAACAACCUCACCUCUCAUGUAUAUGUCCUUAAGAUUUAUUUUUAAUUUUAACUAUGUGUCUCUGUGUAUGGGGUUUGUGUGCAUGAGGAGCUGAAGUUACUGGCAGCUGUGGGCCACCUGAUGUGGGUGCUGGGAACCCAAUUCAGGUCCUCUGGAAGAGCAAAAAGUGCUCUCAAUGGCUGAACCAUCUCUCCAGCCCCUUCCCUCUCCUUUUUAAAGGUUACAUGAGUCUCCUACCUAUCAUAGAAGAGAGUUCAUUCUAAGGGGCAUUAAGGGUAAUUGUGUACACACUGAGAGACUUAUGAUGUAAGAAGUUAAUAUUUGUUCAAUAUGAACAAGCAGAUGUGAAGUCAGAAUUUGCCUUCCCUUAUAUGAAUGAAUCCACAGACAUGUAGGACUUGCAUAGUAGAUACUGAUUUUAUUCAUGUACUUGUUCUUGCUUUAUAGCUCUAAUUUGGUACAUGCUAUGUAGCUCAGGCUAGCCUUGAACUCAUGGCAAUUCUCCUGCCUCAGCCUCCCCAGAGCUGGGAUAAGAGGCAUAAGCCACUGUGACUAUUAUUCUUGGCUAUCUGCUUGACUGGAUACUUAAUUAACUAAGAGAGCAGAUGCUGGACAACCUGUAAAGGUUACUCAGAGUGGGAAAACCCAACCUAAAUGUGGGCAGCAACUUCAAGUAGCAACUGGAAAAAGGUUGAGGAGCAAAUCUUUGCUCUUUGCCUCAUUUCUUCAGCGUUUCCCUGGUGAGUUCCUUUACUCUGUUGCUGCCUCCUCCAUGGUUCCUACAUUCCUUUGCUGGUAGUGGAACCCAGCUUCUUCUGGUUUCUAUCACGGCCAGAAAAUCAGCAGCUCCCUGGGAAUCCUCCAGGCCUUUAGCAUCAGACUGGGAUGCUUGAGGCCUCCUCUUUUGUGGACUGAAUAUUUGCUGGGUUCUCAGCCUCACCAGUAUGAGGACAGCCAUGGUCGGACCCAGACAACAUGUAAGGCAAGUUAGUAGAUUCCCUUUGAUUGUGCACUCUUCUAUUGGUUUUGCUUUUGAAGAGCCCUGGCUGAUACAGCCACCAUGCUCAGCUUGACUCUUUUUCCUUUGAGAAUGUCAGAGUGCUGAGUACCCAUGGGAGAAGAUUUUAAUUAAUCCCUAUGGGUGAAAAAGAAGUUAACUGAGACCUAGACGGAAGAGACAAACUAACUUCAGGGGAAGUCCGUCCGCUUUUCCACAGGCGGGAGGAUGGGUGCUGGACUAGGGAGGUCUGUUUGUGAUGUCUGCAACUUUGUGGCUCCGUCACCCUGUGGCCUUAGGCAAGUUCCUAACCCAAUCUGAAUCUCCAUCCUUUGCUCCUGAAGUCGAGACUGGGUGCUUUACCAAUGUGACUAUCAAGUGUAAUCCUAUGGAAAUCUCUCGUGGUGGUGCUUGGGAAGGCUCCCUGUACACGGAAGCCAUCCUUUUACGUUUAAUACAACCAGACACUGCUGACUUCCCAGAAUGCUAAUUGGCCUGACGUAGCAGGUGCAGGUAAAGAGGACAGCCAGGCUUAUGCUCUCACUCGUCUGCAGCCAGGUUACCAGGGCACUAGACCGCGGCAGGGAUGAACCAGGACCCGGUAGGAUUCUUAGCUCAGCCACGGCCUCCUCAGGAAAGCAAUAUCGUCUUGCCUGGAACAAUGCUUUACAAUUGGAUCAGACUAAGGCCUCUGCCAAGGAUGGAGCCCAGGGGGACUUGGUAAUCUUUGUGUCACUUGUGACCUGGAGCGGGCGAUCUACACAGGUGGGCCCCCUUUCCCUCCUUGGGUCCAGGGAUGUCGGUUGAGCCCCGUGGAUUCUCAAGGUGGUCUUACGAACCCACCUGCAGCUCUUUAAGGAACUCUGUCCAAGAUUGAUGGGCAUUCCACAGAUCAUUAUUUUCAGCUCCCUGCUGCUAAAUCAUUACAGUCCCAUCAUCAGAGCUGGGUUUCAAAGAGGGCACGCUCCUGUCACAAGUUCAGCUCCGGGGACUAAUAUUUCUGGUUUUAGGUCAGUCUCUGACAAACCCCGCAAGCCCCCAGCAGACCGUGCUGGUGACCAGGCACUCUGGGGAGCCAUUGCAGCGGUCUGCAUUCAAGUCUGUGAGUCUCCAAGCACACAAGAAAACAAUCCUGAAUUAGACGUGUUCUUAUAAUCUAGGGAAGGCCUUUAAAAAACAUUGGAACAAACAGUGUCCCAAAUUGGUUCCGUAAUUAAGGUAUGCAGAUCUCGGCUUGGAAGAUCCCUCACGUUGGCUUUAAGGGCCUCCGUAAGCGAGCAGAUAAUUGCGUAUAGGAGCUGCAGGGCCGUUAGAACAGCUUAAUCUACAGAAAGCUUCGGAUAUUAGGGGCUUCUGGGACGCCGCUUGUACAGUAAUGUCUCAUCUGCAGAUAUUACCCCAUAUGCGUGCUUUUCCCCGUUAUAUAUUUUUUAGAGCCGGGGAGCUCGCAUUUGGGUACGAUUUUGUAACAGGAUGAAUAGGUACCCAAAAGAUACUUUGAUAGUCACGAAAGGUAAAAACAUAAUGAGAAAACUGCUUAAGAUUUCCAGGGUACAAUUCUCAUGACCUGUUAAACUUGUGCGUGGUGGAGAGGCAACAGCCUGAUGGCCCCAGAGAGGGAGGCCAUUACAUUUUGUUUAGCCUCAACCACGGAGCCAGACACUGUUUUAACUCCCCUUUCUUACCAUCAGUAAGUCAGGAUAGUAGCAGGUUCAACAUCCAAAAUAAGCCUGGGAGUUUCAUCUUCCCCAGGGGUUUUGGUGGAGAACAGAUUGAAAAUGAGACUAGCUCAGAGAAAUACAGUGAGGACAAGCCUUUUAGCUGGUCACGUGCAGCCCACCAGCUAAAAGCAUCUCAUCCCGAUUUUUAAUAAAUAUGCCCUCAAUAAGUAAUAAUUUGGGGACUGGAGAGAUGGCUCAGCUGGCAAAGUGUUUGUCCUGUAAGCAUGAUAAGCCGAGUUUGGGUCCCCAGCACCCAUGUACAAAACAGGGCGCACAUGUCUGCAAUCCCAGUGCUGGAGACGCAGAGGCUGGCAGAUCCUUGAAGCUCACCAUCCAGGCAAUCUAGAGGAGCCAGUGGGCUCCAGGUUCAGGGUGAGACCCUGUCUCAGAAAGUAAGGCAGCUGGGACGUGCAGAUGGCUUGUUGGGUAUAGCCUAACAACCCGAGCUUGCUCCCCAGAAACCACAUACAGGUGGAAGGAGAGAACUCACACACAUGCACACAUCGUGCACACACAAUAACAAUAUUAAGUAAAAAGUUCAACCAAGGAAGACACUUGCCAUUGACCUCUGACCUCCACAUAUAUGUUCAUACACACGCGUGUGUGCCUGCACAUACAGAUGCACACAGCCACAUAAGUACAUGCACAAUGCCUAGCAUCUCUCUCUCUCUCUCUCUCUUUUUCGUCUCUCCCUUUCUGUGUCUGUCUCUGUUUCUCUCUCUGUCUCUCACACACUUAGUAAUUCUCAAACAACUGACAUAAUACCAAGUUGUCUUGAGCAGUGACAGAGUUAAUGGGGAGAGAAUCCAAGCUCCUUCUCACCACUUUAAGUAGUGGAGGGAGGGAGUGUAGCUGUUACUGUUUUGUUAGUACCUGCCCGUGUCUACCCCUGCCCAUGUUCACCCUUGCCCAUGUCCACCCCUGCCCGUGUCCAAGCUCACCCCUGCCAUGUUUAAGCUCACCCCUGCCAUGCUCAAGUCCGCCCUUGCCCAUGUUCAGGUUCAUACUGCCCAUGUCCAAGCUCACCCUUGCCCAGUAGACUUUUCAGAUUUAUAGUCUAGCCUCUUAAUGGACCACAUACAAAGACAUGGCUUCAAAACCUUCUUUCUAGCGUGUUGUGAUAUUUACAAAGCCUUUGCUUUUUAACACACUGUGAGAAGGGCUUAGUAAAACAAAGGACAACGUAAUUUAUUGUUUUGAGAUUAUUGAUUCAAUAAAUUAACAAUAAUUUCCGUGGAGGGUAGGAACCCUGGUGCCAUAAAGGUUUAUUUAUUGCUAGUUUAACCGGCAUUGAUUACCGUAUUCAGACUGUCCCAGUGCGCUGCAAUCAGGCUUUAUAGGGGAAUUGCUCCCCACCGCCCAGGAGACAGUAAAAUAAACAUCAGCCAGAAGUGACAAUGACUCCGUUUAAAGCCAGAAACUACUUUUUUUUUCCCUUCAAAAGAGCAGGGACAGUUCAGAUAAGGCCUCGAGUACUUGCUGUGUGUACAUUGGACCCUGACCCCUAAAAACACUCCAAGGACAAAAGUUUUUAUUGAGUCUUGCAGUUGUUUGCAAACAGAAUCCAGUAGUGGGUAUUUGUUCACGGGUACUAAAUGAACACAUUUUUUUUGGGGGGGGGGGGCGCCUUUAAAGGGUCCUUCUAUGUUGCAUUUCAGAGCAAGCUAAAUUUAGUUAUUUGGUUUUUUUGCAUGCUUCAGAACUUUUGUCCCUACAAUGGAGGGUGGAUUCUCAAGGAGAAUGGAUUGCAAGACUGUUCAUAACCUGGAUAAACAGCUUCUCAUGUGCGAUGGUUUGAUGUGUUCAUUCCCCAAACAGAGGAACAGGCACACGGACCUGCCUGCAGAAGGUACAUUACACAGAAGCCUCCUGUUGACAAAUGGGAAUGCACGGACUGCUCAGUGGCCUAGAACUCAUCACUCUGGUUAUAACGGCUGGACAGCGAACCCUGGGAAUCCACAUGCCUGUCUCCACCUCCCCAGCACUGAGAUUACAAGAGCAUGCCACGCCACAGCUUUUUAAUGUGGUGCCUAGGGAUCAAACCCACGUUCUCAUGCUUGCACAACAAACUCUUCACCAACUGAGUGACCUCCUGUGCCAUCCUCUUGCUCUCAAUGCCCUCAAUGGAACUGAAAUGAACUGCUCACAUAAUGGAUGGUGAAUUGGUUUCUUCAGGAUCUAGUGAGUUAAAUAAAAGCACUUCAUAGAAACUUCUAUGAUGAUGUUUGACCCAAUAUCUAGGUACUAUGGUCCAGUCAAAUAAACACUUAAAACAAUCAUUGUGUAGUGACUAAAAACAGUGUAAGAAUUGGGGUGGGUGAUUUCCCAGGGAUGCUGAGUGCUGGGACACUUACAGCACACAGUAGCUGGGGAAACACAUCUUGUCCCUUUUUUACUGGUAAUGAGAAGUUGUCUGAAAGUCACUUAGAGUAGAUUUUGUACCCAAAAGAAAAGAGUGUCAUGGGAAGAAGGGAGGCAGGCUGGAAAUUUACAUCAGGAGAUGGCCAUCUAUCUAUUAUUGUAUAGCAUGUAAGCAUGUCUAUGAAUCCACCAAGCAUUGACUCCACAUUUGAAGUAAGUAAACCAUUUCUAAAUAAAGCCAGUUGCAUGAAAAAUCAAAUAAACACUCAAAAUAUGGUCUCUAUAAAAGUCUGUUUACAGGCAUCCAGGAGGUAGAGGCAGAAGGAUCAGAGGCUUAGGGUCAUCUUGGAUCGUAUAGCAAGCUCAAUGCCAGCCUGGGCUAAAUGAGACUGUUUCAAAACAAAAACAAAACAAAACAAAACAAAAUAAAAAUAUUCAAAACAAAAAUACUCAAAAUAAAGUCCCCAAACAAAAAACAUAUUUAGUUCCUACUGUCAUGGAGUCCAUUGCCACUUCCUGGCUAGUUAUUCCCCUUGGUGUGGAGGGUAGAGUUUUGCAUGCUUUCUUUGCAUGAAAGAUAGAAACUAAGAGCAUGGAUUGUGCUUGGUGCAAUCUCACAGGUGGAGAACGCGAUGUCGCUGUAUGUGAGUUCUCUGGAUUGUUUAGACAUGAGAAGUAUUGAGGCUAUGGCCACUGUCUUGCAUGAGUGAAGCUAACUGCAGCUGGUGAACUUUCUCUCUCUUCCUUACAUGUACAUAUAAUGCACAGGGUAUGAUCUUGACUGAUACUUACUAUCAAUGGCUAGUUCUUAGUUGUGUUUUUAUUUACAUAUAUGUGUGCCUGUCUGUGUAAGUAUAUGUCAUGUGUGUAUGGGUACCCUCUGAUGCAGGAAGAGGGUGUCAGAUCCUCUGCAGCUAGAGUUACAGGUGGUUGUGAGCCACCCAACAUGGGUACUGGGAACCAACUUGGGUCUUCUGCAAGAUCAGCAAGUGCUAUUAACCCAUGAGUUAUCUCCCCAGUCCCACCUACAUAUACAUGUACACACAUAAUAUACACACAUGUAUGUAAACGUAUGUAUGCAUUUAACAUAGUUUCUAUGUACCCUUUGUGAUAACUUCUAGGAAUAUCACAUAGUGGUCAUGUUUUACCUUGUAUAUAAAUUUUUGUUUGUUUGUUUGUUGCUGUCUUUUGAGACAGGGUUUCUCUGUGUUGCACCAAAGGGCUUAAAAGAGAUAACACAGAGCCCUCCUUUAAAUAGAUCAGAAAGGAAAUUGCUGAGGUGUUGAUAUUUGGCCCUUAGGGCCAAUGCAUGAAGAGAUUCUGACAGAGGAGAGAGCUACCUGAAGCCCUUUGUGGCAUAGGAUGAGGACUUGGUUCAUUAAAAACAAAAAUCAAACCACUGGAGAGAUGGCUCACAGUUAGGGGUGCUUGCUGCUCUUCUGAGGGCCCAAAUUUGGCUCCUAGCACCCAUGUUGGGCAACUUAGAACCACCUGUAGCUUCAGCUCUGAGGGAUCUGAUGCCCGCUUCUGGUCUCCAAUGCCCUGCGAACACUGCAGGUACCCAUACAGACAGACACAGACCAGAGAUGCUAUGAGCUGAGACCUGGAAAUAAUCACAAGGGCUUCGGAGUACCCUCAAUGAUCUAUGAGAAGACAGGGCAGUGGAAUGAUACCAGAUGAGGGUGAGAAUUGGAUAAGGCCAUUAUCACUGCUGGCUAAACAUGGCUUGAACAGGGUAACAGGUAACAGGAGUGAUGGACUCAACUGAAGAGAGUCCAUGAAAUGAGAUGAAGAGGGGCUUGUCUAAGGAGGUGGACAAAGAGAUACAAUGAAACCCAACAUAUCUAAAUAACAUUUAUUCAGAAAUAGCUUUGAUAACACAUGCUGUUGAACAGAUGGGAGGUGUAAGGAAGUAUAAAACUCAGGAUGACAUCUAUAUGUCUCUCUUGAGCAACUGGGAAGCUGAUGGAUGUCUGCUGUGAAGAAGACUUGCCUAGGAUGUGGGAACAAGCCCCAAGGGUUAAACCCAGGGUUUCCUUUUAGAUUUGUUAUGUUUAAAAUGUUUGUAGAACAUCUCAUGUAAAUAAGCAAAGCAGAAAAUCCAGUGCACCCACAGAACCUGAGGAGGCAGAGAGCAAUGUACACAAAGCUUUCUUUGGAGCAAUUCGUAUAUGAAGAAGAGGAGAAACAUGGGGCAACGGGAGGAUGGAUAUGUGAUUUUAUUAUAUUUGUUCAUGUCAGGACCUCACUAUGUAGUCUCUGCUGGUUGAACUUACUACAUAGAUCAGGCUGGCCUUGAACUCAGGGAGUUGUCCACCUCUGCCACCCAAAUUCUGGGCGUAAAGACAUGUCAUCACAGCUGAAUUGAUACUGUUUAUAAUGGUACAAACCAAGGUGAAUAGUUCCUGCUACCAUUGCAUUUGGAUGUAUAAGAAAGCAACAACUAACUGUGUGUGUGUGUGUGUGUGUGUGUGUAUGUGUGUGUGUGUGUGUGUGUGUGUGUGUGUGUAGUCUGAGGACAGCCACAGCUGUCAUUCCUAGGUAGCACCCGUCUUGAUUUUUGAGACAGGCUCUUUCACUGGCCUGGAAAUCAAAUAGGCUAGGCUAGACAGUCAGGGAACCCCAGGGAUCCAGCUGCCAUGCUGGAUGUUUUUUUUCAUUGGGUUCUGGGGAUUGAAUUCAGGUCUCAACGUCACAGAGCAAGCACUUUAUUGACUGCACUAGCACACUCUGUCCCAACAAAAAGUUUGUUAUUUAAGUUUUUUUACACUUAUUUACACAUACAUGUGCACACCUGCCUGUGUGUGUGUGUGUGUGUGUGUGUGUGUGUGUGUGUGUGUGUGUGUGUGUGUGUGCGCGCGCGUGACCAUGCCACAGCCUGUGUGUGGAGGUCAGGGGACAACCCACAGGAGUCUGUCCUGUCUUCCUACAAUGUGGGUUCCAGGGAUGGAAUUUAGGUUGUCAGCCUUGGUGGCAGGAACCUUCACCCUCUGAACCAUAUCGCCACCCAACCAGCAAUUCUUAAGCUAGUAGAGAAGUCAGAGUGGAAUCCACAUGGUUGCAGUACAAGGUGGUUUCUGGUAUGACUCAUGGAAAAGUCGAUAAUGAGCAUUAUAAUACGCUUUCCCUCUUGGACUCUAAGCCAGUUUGAGCACAUUGUUCAAGGUUUAAUGGAAUACUUCAACCCAUGAGGUGCUUAAAGUCAUUGGUGGGUAACCUUUCAGGGAGGGAGAGGUCUUUACUGAGCAAGUAAUUCAAACCACAGUGUUUCUUAAAAGAAAAUGUCAGUGUCCACUUAAUUUCUUGGCUCUCCCUUUUGAGUGUGGGAUGUCCGUUGAUCUGCCUCAAGAGGCGUGGAUGGCAGGAACUCCCUCUCCACCCUUUAUAAAAACCAGUCUGCUACAUUACACUAUGUAUAAUACAACGGCUUGUACCAUUCAAGACACCAGGCUGUCAUGAUUUCCUGUGCUGAUUUUAAAACAGCCCUUCUAUAGAUAAAAUUUCCCUCCCUUGAUUCCAUCUCCAUCAUUGUAAGUAUUUUCUCAUUUUUCAAAACUUGAAUUUAAUCCUACAUUUGGACACAGGGCGAAAACUUACACUUACACAAACCUUCCUUUAUCUGCCUUAGGAUUGUUUUUAGGAAACGCCAAGAUGUGGCAGAGGAAACAUGGCAUGGUGUAGCUUCCAGGCUGGAGCCUGUAAGGAGUCCUUGGCAGUCUUCUGUCAUCCAUUCCCGGGAUUGCUCCUGUCAGCUCCUUGUCCCUGUUGGUCCUGGGGUCUUCUGUGCCUCCUCUGAGAACCUCUGGGUUACCUGGGAAGCAUUCUGCUAAGACCUGGGCUGCAGUAGAUGCCACCAGGCUGCUUUGGGUCACUUCCCUGAAUCACCGGAAGAGCCUUUAUGCUGUGGGAUGGUCUUGAUGUCAAAUGUGUUGCUCUGAUUGGUCAAUAAAUAAAACACUGAUUGGCCAGUGGCCAGGCAGGAAGUAUAGGUGGGACAAGGAGAGAGGAGAAUUCUGGGAAGUGGAAGGCUGAGUGAGGGAGACACUGCCAGCCGCCACGAUGACAAGCAGCAUGUGAAGAUGCCGGUAAGCCACGAGCCAUGUGGCAAGGUAUAGAUUUAUAGAAAUGGAUUAAUUUAAGAUGUAAGAACUAGAUAGCUAGAAGCUUGAGCCAUUAGGCCAAACAGUUUAAAUAAUAUAAGCGUCUGUGUGUUUAUAAGUGGGCUGUUGGACUGCCGGGUUUGGCGGGACCGGAGAGAAAACUCUCCAGCUCCCCCUUUAGUGCCUGGAGCUUCAUGUUCCCAUCUUGUUGGAAGGGGAGAGUAUUUGUUGUAUUAUGUACUUCGUUUCCUCUUCUAAACUUGUGGCUAUGGCCCAACCUAAACCUUAUAGCUCCUAAAAAGCAACUUUAAUGAAAUGUGAUCUGCAUACCCCACAACUCCCAUGCUCAGGCAUGGUUCCUGGGUUUUUGAGAUAGUCACAGAAUCACUCAGCCGUCACCUUCAAUCUAAACUGUUGAAACUCUCCAAAGUCAAAGGCUGAGUUUUUUUGUUUCUUUGCUGACACUGAGAAGGUGCAUGGAGAAGAGAGAGGAUAGUAUAAUGGUUUCCAUGUUGGAAAAUAGGAAGAAGUGACAAGAUACAGCUCAUCUGCUCCACGGUCAGACCCGUGUUGUCCUGCACUACAGGCAACUACGUGUGACUGCUCCAAGAAGCAUGGUUGUUUAUUUGUAGAAAAUCCUAAGCUUUCUCUACUUUGUCUUAUUUGAAAUUGGUUAUACAGCUGGAGAGACAGCAAAGUAGCUAGGAGUGCUCACUUCUCUUCCAGAGGGCCUGAGUACAGUUCAGGGACGCUGUUUUUCUCUUCUGGCCAUUUUGGGUACUGCACACACAUGAUACACAUAAAAUCAUACUGCAAAUCAUUCAUACACAUGAAUUUAAAAAUAAAUCUUAAGAACUUGGUUGUGUAAUUUCCUUUUACACAGCUCAUCUGUACUCAGAAAAGGUUGCUUCCUAGUGGAGCUUUCUUUCCAACUCCAUCUGCACGCUGGUGAAUUGUAAGACUUGUUUUCAUCUUAUACUCCUUUGUUCUUCUUUACUUAAAAUUUAACAACUGUUUUCUUAUAUAGACAGGUGGUGACAUCUUAUUGGUAAUAUAGUUUGGCUUAGGGCAAAGUUCACUCUGGGGUUAAGGUUUGUGUGGGGGCUUCCUGUGGGGUCACUGCCAUUGGUCCAGGGCUUGCAAAGCUAUUGAGCUCAUCACCCACACCAUUUCCUAGUGCGGAACUCACCAGCUGUGGCCUUAGUACAUGGACUUGGAAGUUAUGUCUAGCAUUGUGGCAUGGUGGCAGUGUUUGCUAAAUAAUUCAAUGCGUAGCUGGAUCCUGACCCUUCCCAACAAUUUGUUAGCAUUCACAUAUAUGGAUUUGAUUUAUACAGAUUUCUUAAUUUUUUUUAUGUUUGUGUGUGUGUGUGUGUGUGUGUGUGUGUGUGUGUGUGUGUGUGUGUGUGUUCAUGCCUGUGCAGGAAGGACCCUGUGGAGAACAGAAGAGGGCAUUGGGUUCCCUGGGUCUGGAGUUAAAGAUGGUUGUGAACUGCCUUGUGGGUGCUGUGAAUUAAACCCGGGUCCUCUGGAAGAGCAGCCAAAGCUCUUAAACCACUGGGCCAUCUCUCCAGCCCUAAAUUUGUUUGAAUUAAUUUUUCAGUUAGUGUACCAAAUAGUGGGCUGCACUAGGAGAAGCUUCCUGCGUGUGUGCCAUUGUGUUUUGCUUAUAUUUGCACCCCUACACCCUCUCUUGUUUUCAGCUUGCGGUUCCCUUCCUUCUUCCACACUCCCCUAUGCUGGCAUGUCCUAUAUACAUGUGUGUAAGCAUAUAUAUAUGUAUAUAAUUGUAUGCAUAAUUAAAUUAUAUUCUCAUAGGAAAGAAAACAAGAUAUUUCAAGUAGAUUAGUCACAGAGUAUGUGUCUUACAUGCACAAAGUUCUGGCUACAAUCUCCAGCAUUGCAAAAAAAAAAUGUGAUUUAUUACAGUGUGACACCUUGUUGGGCUGGAGUGUGGUGUAAGAGUGGCCAUGGAAACUGCGCUCCUCCCCAUUCCUUCCGCUCUGUUUCUCCCAUCAUGCUCUAUGGGAGUUUAUCCUUUACCCAGAGUUCUUAUGGCAUAAAACUGAAGAGCCCAGGUCUCAGUUAGUGUACCGCAUUCCUGGCCCCGAGUUCCCUCUCUGCUGACCGUGCAUGGGGAGCUAACAGAAUGAAAGAGCAUCUGUCUGUCCAGCGAGCUCUUUGUUCAUUUUGCUUGAGGAAGGAAGACGAGGAAAGAAGGGAAAAGAAAUCCUAGCCCAAGCGCCAGUCGGGUGUUUUCCUGGAUCCUUAGGAAACACUCGGCUGUGUCCUGGCUUUCAUUCCCCGCUUUACUUUUGUAAAGCGUUGUGGGUGAAGCGUCUGCGCUGUCUGUUUUGCUGGUAUUCAUUCCUCAUGUUUGCCGAGCCUCUGUUACAUCUCAGGAUAGGAAUUCCCUUAUGAGCAGCGUGAUUAGGAAGGCAACGAGGACUAUUAAAUAUAUUUGAAUACAGGCGGCAAAUUGCCAUGCAGCGCUUCUCUGGAGACCACCAAAAGGCAUUUUGUGAGCGAGUUGGAUCCUGCCAAUCACCGCCCUCCAUUGCAGCCUUCCUUCACGCCUCCUUUCAAUCCUAGCCUCUCGAGUCCCCCUGCGUCUCACCUCAAAAACCUAUUUCAAUGUCUUAAAGUAAGCAGGUGGGGUGAUAAGACAGAUCAAAGGCAGCAUUGAUUCUGGAGACUUCGUUCCUCUGGUCGUUCGGAGCUUCCUACACACACUCCUGUCACAGGGGUUCUGUGCCCCAGUGUCCAACUUCCAGAAGUGAAAAUAGUUGCUAGUGCACCCGUGGUUUCUUGAAAGCAAUGCAAAGUGUCUGGCGGCCUUCUGAUGUGGGCAGCGAGGAAUCCAUGUUUUAUAGCUCAUGUAGUGGACAAAUGCAGACGCUGAACAGUUUUUUAAGACCUAUAAUGGAAGAGCAGUAAGGAUGCAUGUGGAUGGAGUGACCCUCUCAUUCUCCUCUCUUGUCAGGUGAUCCUCACUCUGGUCCCUUGAGAGCACUCCAGGGUGGCCCUUGCUUCACCAUGAGGAAGCUAGCUAAGGGUCUUGGAGGUGGGACUCUCAAGGUGCUUCUCAACCGCUGUGUCACCAGCCUCACCAUUUCCUCUGCACACCCGGCUGUGACUCACACUGGAGGAUGAGAAGACAGACAAGCAAACAUGCAAACAGACAGAGCAGGAGAACUUCCUGAGGCGUUUUGAACAUUUUCGGUUUAAUUUCCCAUUUAUCAAAUAUUGCAGUGCCACACGGGAAGUCAUGAGAAUGUCAAACUAAAUAAGCCCUGGGGUGGGGGCGCAAGGACGCCAUUGCACAUUCUACCUGCUGGUCCCUUAGAGCCCCACGUGUUCCCCUCGCAGCCUGUGGGUGGCCAGUUGCAGGUUUCCAUCUUUGCAGCUGUAGUGCCCUCACUUGUCUGUCCUUGACCUCUUGUAAAGUGUUAACACUGUGGAGUUCAGAACAGUAUCCUUAUUCAUUUACAACCUGUUCUUUGAAGGCUGAGAAGAUGAUCCAGUUAGUGAAUUGCUGUGCAAACCUAAAGACUGGGUUUCAGAGCCCUGGCACCCACAUUAGGAGUUGGAUGUGGCAGCAUGGACCUGCAAACUUUUCCCUGGGAAGAUGGAGAAAGCAGAAUCCCCAGGGCUUUGUCUGCGGCAUCAGUGAGUUCCAGUUUUGGUGAGAGACCCUGUCUCAAAAGCCAAGAUGGAAAGUGAUUAAGAAAGAUACCUGAUGUCCUCCACACGUAUGUGUGCACAUAAGAACAAGCCCACACUUACGCACAUAAGUACAUAUGAAAAUGUACAUAAGACACACAUACUCACGCUUUUUAUUGCUUUUUUUCCCUAGAAGAAUCUGCAGACUUUGGAUGGCCAAACAACUGAACAGAUGUCUCCAGAAAUAUAAAAACUGUGGGCACCUGGGGUAGGAGUGGGUAUGCACACCCCAACACACUUUGCAUUGUAUCAGUGAUCUCUUAUGAAUGUUAGAUGGUCACUAACCAACAGAGGCAGAAGGAGGAGGUGUCAUGGACAGACAGCUGAACUGCUUACAGUGGGGGCGUGUAUGCAUAUGCAGUGGGGAGAGGUCGGACAGCCUCGGAACUGUGCUUUUCCAUUGUUAUUAAAGUGUGACAGGUGCAAACCGUGCAACAAGCAUGGACGAGCAACUUGAAAACUUCCCACACAACUUAGAUACCACUGUGCCCAGUGGGUUAGUGAGGAAACAUCAGUAGGCCCCAGCAGCCUCACGUGUCUCCCUCCACCCCCCAUUGCUGUCUAUACCCAGGUUAUCAUCUCGACUUCAGACUUCACAUCCAGUCCCGAGCGGUCUUGACUUGUGUGUCUGCUUUCUUUGUCUCAACACUGUGUCUGUGUGUUUGCAUAGGACUGUAGUUUAUUUGCUUUCAUUUUGUGAUGUUCUAUCUCAUAAAUGGGCCUUAUCUGAUGGCCCCUCCUGUUAUGGAUGGACUCCCAUGUGGCUUUCAGUGGGGACUACUAGACAUUUCCGCACUUGCUUCUAGUGGAGACCCACGUAUGCUGAAUUGCCACGAGUAUAAACAGAUUAUUUCUUACCUGUUUACUGCAAUAAACGUGGCUGGCGACUCUGCUAUAAAAGCUACACUAUUGUGUUGCUUCCUAUUUGGUCUUGAUUUCUUCUGAACAUUCUUUUUCUGUUUCCUGAAUUAAUGUUCUUCCUAAAGCCAAACUGACUGAAGGAGGAGAUGAAAUGCAGAGCUCUGGGCUCAGGGGCAGAGGGCGUGCCCUAGACUGUGCUGAGGUGAGGUGCUCUCCCCCAGGGGCCUCAUGGCCUUUGAAGGUCAGACCACUGUCUAUUGUGUGUUCCUUUGAGUACCUGGUGCCUGUGACCAAAAGUGGUAUGCUUUCCAACAAAACUCAACCAUUUCUGAUUUUCUCACAGUCAAAACACUUUUUAAGGUAGAUUAAUUUAUGUUUGACUCAUUGAAUUGGGCUUAUUUUAAUAAGCCAUUUUUUUGUAUGCAAAGGAGUGCUGACACCAGCAAGUUUUAUCAUACUGAUUACUGUGGAAACAUUUAUCUAUAAAUAUAAAGCCCUUUAAAGCUUAGCCUUUUAUCUUUAUAGAGAAAAGCCUGCUUAUGUCACUUCUAAGAUCCCAGCUUUAAUGUAGACACGAGCUAUUCUCCUGCCAGACAACACAACCUCAGUACUGGGGCCGUGCAAGCUCUGAGAAGAGGAAUUUGUGCUGAUACUAUUACUUUUUGAUGAAAUAAUAAUGCAAUAAAAGUAUUUAAAGAGACUCACUCAAGCUUAAACUGUGGUAUGUUCAAUUCCUGUUACUGAAUUUAACAUUGUGAAUGUGUUGCACAUCUUUUUCCUUUUUAACACUGAUUGUUUUUACAUUUUAAGCAAAUAUGUAUAUGGGUCUGUGUGUUUGUGAACUUGCAAGCCAUCAUAUGGGCCAAAUGGAAGUGAUUUGCUUAUCAGCCCUUUCCUUUGGUAUACUGAUGGAUUUUUCUUCUUAAAAACUCUUGUAAAAAUCAGAUGUACUGAUGUAA